rnacentral:rRNA from 1 species
CACGUAGGGCGCGAGCGUUGUCCGGAAUUAUUGGGCGUAAAGAGCUCGUAGGCGGCCUGUUGCGUCCGCUGUGAAAGCCCGGGGCUUAACCCCGGGUCGGCAGUGGAUACGGGCAGGCUAGAGGUAGGUAGGGGAGAAUGGAAUUCCCGGUGUAGCGGUGAAAUGCGCAGAUAUCGGGAGGACCACCGGUGGCGAAGGCGGUUCUCUGGGCCUUACCUGACGCUGAGGAGCGAAAGCGUGGGGAGCGAACAGG